rnacentral:lncRNA from 1 species
AUUUUUUUUAACAGUGUAACUUUUUGUUUACAUAAUAAACUAUUAUGACAUUCCCUGUUUAAUCAUGUUUUCAAAUCAUACUUGAUGCUUUGAGUGUUUUAAUGCAGAUUUGUUGUAACUAAAUUUUGUGAUACAGUCAAAAAAAAUUACUGGCUUUAUACAUUUGUCAAAUCAGUCUCAUGUUUAAAAAAGGACUCCUCUGCACUACAUUUAUUGUUUUUCAACCACAAUUUACAGGAACCAUGAAAAACCUACCACCGGGAGAAAAAAACGUCACAGAUUUUGAGUGUGGUUUCUGUUUGGACCCUCUUCUAUUUAAUUCUGCAGUCAUGCCUUAUAUCUUGAUCUCUCUGCCUGCUAAUAGCUGGGUGCUAUGGCUGAUGAAAUCAUCUCCCGUCUUCUGGACAGAUCGGAUGGAUGUCUCUGAGUUCCACUUGGUCCUCACAGAGCUACUUUUUGGAUUCCUGGGGCCACCCUUAAUGAUUAUAAGCUUUUAUGUCAAUACCGAAAUGAUACAAAUGGUGUCUAAAGUCAUCAACACAAUAUUUACAGCCAGGAUUCAGUUUCAGUGCAGUGUCUGCAUAGAACGCUAUCUUGCAGUGGUGCAUCCCUUGUUAUAUCUCAGGUAUAAACCUUUAAGGUACAGGAUGAGCUUUUGUUGUGUAAUGUGGUUGCAAUCCAUCCUGCCUGUUUUAGCAGAAAUAUACUUGUGCAAUCGCAUAACAAUGGGCAUUUAUACCACUUGUGUUGUGUUUGUCUUCAUCAUCAACUCGUUCUGCUCCAUAUCAGUUCUUAGAGCACUGAAACAGCCAUCACCAGGUGAGGGAGAGAGGGAGAGAUCCAAUUUGGUAAAGAGAAGGGCUUUCAAUAUAGUCCUGACAUUCCAGAUGACUACAAUUGUUGGUUAUGUACCUUUGAUUACUGUGUUCUACUUAGCUGGGAAAUUGGACAGGAACAUACUAUGUAUUUGGCAGCCCUUGACCUAUGCUCUAAUGAUUUGGCUUGGUGGUUUCUAUGCUCUCUUCUAUCUCCGCAGAGCUGGGAAACUCACACGAAAUCAUUUAUUUGCAAAUUGUUUUAAGCAUAGCUACACUUGAAACUGCUUUUCCUUUAUUUGUAAAAUUUGCAUUUCCAUUCCUUUGUUUUAGAAAUACAUGGCAUUGAAUAGUUAGUAUUCUUUGUACUAUUUAUUUGGGCUUUAGCUUUUAAAGUAAAAUCUUGACCCAAGAAUAGCCAGCC